AAAAAUUUAAAAAACAAACAAACAAACAAAAAACAAUACCAUAUCGUAUACUUGAAAUUGACUAAGAGAGCAGAUCUCAAGCAUUCUAACCACACCACAAAAACAAAGUAGCUAUGGGUGGUGAUGGAUAUGUUAACUAGUUUCAUUGUGGUUAUCACUUCACAGUGUAUGCAUAUAUCAACCUAUCACAUUGUAAGUCUCAAAUACAUAAAAUUUUUAUUCAUCAAAAAUAAUAAAUAAGUAAGCAAAUAAAGACCAAAAUAAAGAGAUAAAUGAACAAAAUUCCAAUGUGUGAAAAUGACUUUGGAUAAUGCCUGAAACAGAGUAACAGCCACCAGAGAUACAAGAGGACCUGGGAAAUAGAUACAUACGUGGUACUUCAGUAUACCUGGAGCAAAAAGGUGAGGAGAGAAUACAGGCUUCUUUUAAGAGAUGAAGCUGGAGAAGUAACCAAAGCCUGUUUCUGCAGGGCCUUGCAAACCAGUAAAGAACUUUGUGCUUUUUCCGGAAAGUACUGAGAAGCCAUUGAAGAAUUUCAAUCAUUCACUGACUGAUUGCUGAGCUUUCAUUGUUAAAAGAUCAUUCUGAUUGGAGAUGGAGAAUGGGUUGACGUGAAAGGGAAGUGGGUGGCAGGAAAAGUAAACAGGCCAAUUUUAAGGCUGCGCAUGAGAUGGUGGUGGCCUGGCCUAUGUUAGUUGCGCAAGACUGGAAGUAGUGGGAAGAUGAGGCAAUUGUUUCCAGACAUACAAGUGAGAGGUCUUGAUGAUUAGCUUUUGGGGUUGGGAGAGAGGGAGAGGUCUAAUGGGUCAGUUGCUACAGUGGGAUCGAGAAGGGCAAGAGACAACUUGCAUUGAGCUACGACAGGAUGACCUUGGUGGGAAGGAUACAACUGGGAGGUGAAGGCCAGAACCCAGAUGACCAUAUGUUGAGGAGAGGCUGGGAAGUGAAGAGUGGAGUCAAGAUUAUUGACUUGUCAACAGUACUGCUUGUUGCCACCUAACAUCCAUUCCCACCUUCUCUCAUAUUGAGAGAAUUCCUGAUAUUUAGUUGGGUACAUGGCUUUGUAGACUAAGCCUUUACAUUACCAGGAAGUGUUAAGUUAUGGUCAACAGAAUGCAAAUGGAAGUGAGGUGUGCUAUGGGCAAUGGUGUUAAAAGAAAGGAUAUGCUCUCCCCUCCCCAUUUUCCUUGCCUGCUCGCUGCAAACAGAUCUGCUGUGCUGAGUCAUCUUUGACCUUGUCAGUAAGGAACCACAGAGCAACCAUACAGAAUCCUGGGUAUCUGACACUAUAGGGUAACCAUUGUGGGUUUGAACAUAUACCUAGACUGUUACAUGAAAGAGAAAUACAUAUUUUGUCGAAGCCACGGUUAUUUAUACCCCUGUUAGAGCAACCCGCUCUAUAUCCAAACUAUUACAGAAUUUGAUACAAGAAGGGAGUGGCUGAUAGUUUAGAACCCAACAUAAGUGGCAUAGGUUUGGUGGGCAGGCAGUAGGUGGGAAGGCACAGGUAUUACAGUCUGGUGGCAAGUCUGGUGACAGUUUUUAUGUUGUGACAAAACACUAAGCUGUUGUCUAUGAUCAUUCUCAUGGCGGAUCACAUGCCAUCAGAACCUGAAACUCAAGAAGAAAUUAAUCGUAAUAUUUGGAACGUGGUGUCUGUGGGAUGCAUUUUGCCACUUUCACCAGGAACUUGCCACAAACAGAUCUCAGGCUAGGGUCAGCCAGUCUGCCAGCACUGAUUCAAGGGUAUACAGCUCUUCUAAGGAAGCUCUUUCUGCCUGUAGAUGACAAUCCAAUUUGGCGGCAACGAGAGUGACUAGUGCCUCCAAAGCCUGAGAGAGGCAAAAACUUCUGCACCCCAAACUGAAGGAAUUACAAGUGGCUUUCAAUAGGUAGCCUAAGCAGGACAGGACACCCAAGCCUUUCUCCGUCACCUCCCCAAUAUGGCUGACUCAAGGUAAAUUGGCUAAGUGCAAAAUAGCUGUCAUUGAUUUAGUAGGGAGACUUGGUAAAUCCCAGAACAAGCUACACAGAAGACCAGAGUUUUCAGGCCCCAAAACUAUGCCUGAACAAAGUAUUUCAGGAUGACUAUUUACAUAUGGAAUUUGACAGACAUAAAAGUAGACCAGAAGCCUAAAUGUUUGAGGGAAUUUGCUUGCAAAAGAAACCAUAGCCUAGGAAAAUGGGGAGGAGAGAGCAUAUCCUUUCUUGUAACGCCAUUGUCAAUAAGGCAUAGACUAGUUUGACCUCUAAUACAAUCCUCAUGAUCCCCUUUCUGCGCAGCAGGAAGUGGGCUGCAAAAGCCAUCCUGUCCUCAAGAAGGGUAUAUUCUUCCAAACAUCCACCUCAGAUUUGUCCACAGAGGAUGAUGAACAUGAAAGAAUGUUCCAGAGGGAAAGACAAAAGCUAAAGAUGACAGCAGAGGAAGCAACGCCUCCCAGACAGCAGAAUCAGGACCUACUGAAUGGACUGAGGCCCCAAAGAGUGCCAGGACAGGGUUCUGUCAUAAUUCAUGCCUAGGGGAGUUGGAUCAUUGCUAGGGACCUAUGUUACCUCAUUAUUCACUCUUCUCUUUCCAGUAUUGGAGUUUUUAUAGCAAUACCCUACUCCAGGGAUAGAUAUUGGUUGGUCUGGAGACUAGACAUAACUCAUGCUUUAGUUUGUAGUUUGUCAGAUAGGAAUUCUAUCCCUACUGAAUGGAGAGAACCAAGGAGUAACAAGAGAUACUAAAUUUUGACCCAGAUGUAGUCAUUCUAUGAGACCUGGGGGUUAUAUUUCUUGAAUAUGACAAUGUUCUAUGCGUGGGGAUGAUGCUCUGUGUGUAUUUGCGGACAGUUGUUUAAUCAAACGGGUAGACCCUGACAGAAACUGUUAGUGGUCACUCAAUAGUCAUGCCCUCAGUUCUCUCAUAGAAAUGGAAUGCCCUAUUUCUGGCUGAACACAUAACCACUCAAAAGGAAAGACCACAUUUCCCAGCCUCUCACAAAGCUAUGUACAGCCAGGCGACUAAGUUCAGACCAAUGAAAUGUGAACAGAAGUGAUAUGGAAAACUUUCUGGUUAUUCUCUGAAGCUAGAGGCAUGUCCUCCCCUUUCCCACCUUCACUUCCCACUUCCUGGAUGUGGACAUGAUGCUGAGUCCUCUCAGUUCUACCCUAGAGGUGGUGGAGCACCUUCACAGAAGGAACCUGAGUCCCUGAGAGGGUGGAGCUGCUAAGCCAGCUAUGGACUGCAUAUGCUCAGACUAUUCAGGAAGGAAGGAAUGAGUUACUGGAUGUGUUUGUUGAAGCAACCGAACCUAUAUCUAACCAGACCUUACUCUAAAGAAUUUGUUCGUAUUGUAGACAGUAGGAAGCUAAUAACAGCAUUUGAACUCUCAUGAUUUGUUACAAGUAUUUUUGUUCUAAUGUUGAGUACAUUGAUGAUAUGCCAGUAUCAUCAAAUGAAAAUCACUAAUCCUGAGUUUCUAGAACUUGAAUAAAUCUAUCAAUAACCCAAAGCAGUCAUUGUUUACUCUUUUCUAUGUUUGCAAACGUGGAUGGGAAUUGGGAAGAAGAAGGCCAAACACCUGAAACAGAUAAAUUUACACAUCACACAGUUAGAAAAAUGAAGUUAAAAUUCCAACAAAGGAUACAUGUUCGAUAUUUUGUUAAAUACUGGGACUGCUUUGAAAUGUAUAUUAUCAAUACCUCCUUUUAAAUAACCUUCUUAGAUUUUGCUAACUCGAGACUCGAAGGUCUACCUUUCCCUCUUCUGCUGAGUAUCACAAGGUCUCCUCUCCAGAUCUAAAUGCUACAAACUUUGUUAUGAGACAGUCUUAUGGGACAAUAUCUAGAGGACUUUCAAUGUGACAGUUUUUAAAAGAAAUCCUGACAUUUUUGUGGGUUCAGUGUUCAGGGCUCAGUGCUCUUGUGACUGAUGAGCAAUCUCUUUCAUCAGUGCAAGACUUUGUGAUAAAAUCUUACUCAACUUCUGUGUCUGUUAUCUUAAAGUCUACCACACCUGGCACUAUAGUCUGUGGCCUAUUUCUCUUGACAUACUAUUAAAAGUCAAGAUAUAUUCAUUGUUUCAUUUUGCCUCACGGCCCCCAAGCCCCACCUUCCACAGGCAAAGGAGAUUGUCUUUUAGGCCUAGGAGCCAAUGAAAGUGAUCCAGUACUUGGUUUGUUCCAAGUCUGGGAAAGUUCCUCCUGCCCCAGAGCUGGCAUCGAAAUUGCAAAAGGUAAGCAGUUCUCAGAGGAGACAGAGACAACAGCUCCCCCAUCCUCCCAAUAUCUCAAGUCCCUUAAGAGAGUCUGUUGUUGAAGUUGGUAGAUAUUUGUGUUCAUUUUCUUUCUCUCCAGCAGUCUGACUCUUGUUUGUAUUCAUAAAGAAAUUGUUGACCUUAUGGAUUCGUUCGCAGCACUAGGACCUCAAAGAUGAUCUCUCUGAGACACGUACCGACACACUGCCUUUUCUCCAACUUGCCUAGGUGGUUCCCCGAGACAAAUGUGGAGCUGGUUUCAAAUCUUCUCUGUGACCUGGUGUGCCUGAUGAGGACCAAGGAGAAAAACUGCUACUUGGACCUUCAAAUUUUCUGACUCCAAGACCCAAGGCAAAACAAUUCUCCACACUUUAAUUUGAUAAAGGAUGUGCUAAACCAAAGGUCCCAACUUGAAAAGUGUUGUUGCAGAGAUUAGAUGAGAUAAUCAAUGACGCCAAAGGAGAAGAAGACAAAUGGAGCUCUGGAAGAAUGAUUAAUCUCUCCCAGAAAGUGGCUAGCAUCCUCUCUGGUACAUGGGCCCUCAGCCAUGGGGACCAACUGAUGAUAUUCCUGCCCCCAGCACCAGAAACCUACUGGAGCUGCCUGGCCUGGGUGCGAUUGGGUAAGACAUGGGAGAGGGGCCCCUGGGACAGAGGCUCCUAUGGGAUUCCAGUCUCAGUCAUUCACAGAAUGGAGAGAUGGUAAAAGGAUGUCCAUCUGAUGCCUGAAUUCUUCCCAUAGUGUGGGGGUCUAUAAACAGGCCUAAGGUUUCAUCUCAGCUCCACGAACUGCCACUUUUGUAAUAUCAUCCCUCUCUGAGCCUCAGUUUCCUUAUUUGUGAAAUGGGCACAGUAAUAGAGUCAGACUUAUGUGUUAUUGUGAAAAUGAAACACAAAUUAUCCAUAGAGAGUGCUUAACUACCUUGUAGGCCAUUUAUCACCUCAAGGAAAUUUUAGCCUCUGAGAGGCUCCAAAAUAUAAAUAUUUUGUGGAAUUAGGAGGUUCCUAGGAAACUCAAAGCACAUGUUCCCUGGAGAUUUCCCAUGAAGUGUUUGCCAUUAUAAGUUCCCACAAAUGGCUCAGCCUAUUGCUUUUGCCUGAGAAUAGGCUUGUAGUUAAAAAACAAAAAACCCUGAAGAACAUUCAAAGAGCAGGUAUCCUUGAGAAUGCCAGGUGUGGGAGGCACAAAGAAGACAAGACAGGAGUGAGCCACACCACGGCUCAACAGAAGCCCUUGAGUACUUCAGGAAGUAAGUCCUAUUUUUUGAAGGCCCUAUGCUUGGAGGCUCAUCUUUGCCAUGUAGUUCCCAAGAGUUGGGGUGCCUGAGGUAGCUCACAAUCCCCUCAGUCCUCUGGGACAACUUCUGUAUUAUGAGCUCCUCCUGACUGUGGGUCACCACACCUGGAGUGGGGUUUCUUGUGAGACUGUGUCUGCCUCUCCUGUUUCCAUAUAUGUUAUCCUUUUAUCCGUUAUUUUACAGACACUGUUAAGCUAUCUUUCAGAUCCUUUUCAGAGGGAAUUGUUCCAUAAGCAGCUGUUGAAUUCUUGUGUUCAUGGGAGGAGGUGAGUUCAGGCCCCUCCCAUGCUGCCAUCUUGACCCCAGCUCCACAGUCCAUACUCUAAACCACAUGUGAAAUAAUACAUGUUUAAAACCACUCUUUGGGCAAAUAGCAAUGAUACGUUUCUUCUGAACGUGUAUUCUGAAAUGUUAUCAAAAGUCCAUAGAAUGAAAAUCACUGAGCAAGAAGCUGGAGCUAAAGAUGACUGAGACAAAGUUCUACCCUCAGAGGGGCUGAAACACUCCUAGGGGAGAUGAGAUCGAGGAAAGAGCAAUUUAAUGCAAUCAGGAAGGUCCUCGGUAAAUUGACAAGGAGUUCAGAAGGAAAAGAAACUCCCUUCAGCUAGAAAAUCAGGAAAGGAUGCUGCAAGGAGGUAGCACAACAUGCAUAUUCCCACUGCAAAGAAGCCACUCUGGGGGACUAUACCUUUGUUUUCAUUGUAUUGCUUCUGCUUAAAAAUAGUUUAGGACUAUACUUUGGGAAAGGGUCACCAAGGAAAGCAGCGUCAUUACUCUAAACUUUCCUUUUUUAUUCAAAAGUAUACUUCCCAGUAUGAGAUUUCAAUAUCCCACUUUGAAUCAUGGAGAGAACAACUACACAAAAGAUCAACAAGAGAGAAGGGAGAAGACUUUCAUUUAAGCCCAAGUUAAGAUAGCCACCCAGGAUACAAAAUCUUCACAAAGAAGAGACUUCUCUGAGGAAGGAACAGUCAGUGCAGGAUUACAUAUGUUUUUUUCACACAAUGCAUCAUAAAUCAUCAUGGCCAUGACAUUCCAGAAAGUUACAGACUUUAUCUCAUGUCUUAGUAUCUGCAAGACUGUAUGACUUUAAUCUUAUGGAAACCAGGGACAUGUUUUUCUUGUUCUUUAUGUUUGAAAUGUUCCUUUUUGGUUAUUUUUAUUUUUAUUUUUUGAAGCUUUCAAUUUUUUAUUUUUUUAAAAAAAUAUUAGAGAAGGAGGAG